UAGGGAAUAUUGGACAAUGGGUGCAAGCCUGAUCCAGCCAUGCCGCGUGCAGGAAGAAGGCCUUCUGGGUUGUAAACUGCUUUUGCCAGGGGAUAAAAUUUCUUUGCGAAGAAAAUUGAAGGUACCUGGUGAAUAAGCCACGGCUAACUACGUGCCAGCAGCCGCGGUAAUACGUAGGUGGCAAGCGUUGUCCGGAUUUAUUGGGUUUAAAGGGUGCGUAGGCGGUUCCAUAAGUCAGUGGUGAAAUACAAUAGCUUAACUAUUGAGGUGCCAUUGAUACUGCGGAACUUGAGUACAGACGAGGUAGGCGGAAUUGACGGUGUAGCGGUGAAAUGCUUAGAUAUCGUCAAGAACACCGAUAGCGAAGGCAGCUUACUAGACUGUAACUGACGCUGAGGCACGAAAGUGUGGGGAUCAAACAGGAUUAGAUACCCAAGUAGUCCCUGAGCGGGCUGGCAAGGCGCAU
rnacentral:rRNA from 1 species